CUCGUCACUGCCCCACACGUGGCUCUGACCCUGGACCCCGUCACUACCCCUCACGCGGCUCUGACCCUGGACCCCGUCACUGCCCCUCACGUGGCCGCAGAUCCUGGACGCCGUCACUGCCCCUCACGUGGCGCUGACUCUGGACCCCGUCACUGCCCCUCACGUGGCCGCUGACCCUGUCACCACCCUAGGUGCAGGUGCUGGCCCUGGAGCCGCGCCUGUGCCCACAUAGGCCUGGCAAAGGGCAGACAAGGUUCCCAAACAUGGCGAGAAAAACGGGGAUUCCGUGCGUUCCUUACAUCCAUGGCGAUGCUGAAACGACAGUGUUGCGGAUACUGUGGCUUAAAAGUGAAACGCGAGGCUUAACUGGUCCCUACCCAACCACUGCCAGCUGAAGCCCACCCAGGUCCUGGAGAUGGAGCUGAGAGGAAGCUCUGGACCAACCCAAGAGCUGGAUGCAGGAACCUGACACCAGGAGGCUCAGGGAGCAAAGAAGCCUCUCGGUCCUCCGCCUUCUCGUCCUCCCAGAUGUCCGGCGACCCGAUGCCCUCGUCCUUGUCCUCUGCCCGCCGCCGCUUGGGGGAUGAGCCGCUCAGCUCCUGGGGACC